rnacentral:lncRNA from 1 species
AGACAACGCUACUUUAGUGACCGAAGCACUUUUCCUUUCCCUUUCAUGCGAGUUUUUUGCAACCAUGGGUGGCUAGUAUCAAUGCCUCCACUUUCAAGGUGAGGAGAGGAACUGGGGAGGUUGAGCAUUUGCUGCAAUAUCACCGUGGCCAGCAGCGCAAGAGAGCCAGGGUCCCCAUUUGCCACCCAUGAACCAGUCGGCCUUCCUCGCCCCACGCUGGAGAUAGAGGAGGGAAGAAAGAACUAGCCGAGCAAAACCCCAAAAAAGGAAUCCUUUCUCCCCAGAGAUUAUGAAAUCAAAGAACAUUUUGUUGCUUCUUGGAAAUUCUUCCCCUUACGGAGGCUACACAAUUGAACAGGGUUUUCAUUAUUAUGACUAUGAUUAUUAAAGUUGUUGGUCUAGUUCCCGCCUCCUUCUUUGCAAACUUUCGCACGGACUGAGAAACACAAGCGUUUACCUGGGUGCAUGCUGGGACGGGGCGAGCAGGUAGUGCAGGCUUCCAGGCCUCUCCUGCCCCGGAGCUUGGCUGCAGGACUCCCGCAAAAUCUCCAAAUGCCCCCGAUCUGCGUGGUCACCGAGAAGCAGCCCGGCUCGGAACAAGCCCAGGCAAGCCCAGGCAGAGCCCGCCGCCGGGUCCUCCUUCCUGCUCGUGCCACCAGGCCCCGGGGCCGCGACGCGUCUCUCCAGCCCGGGAUCCGGGGAGCUGGGCUGUCCCCAGACCGACGGGACAGCGGCAUCUCCUCCACCUGAAAAGGAAAGAGGACCAGUUUGCAGGACUCCGAACUGGGCCCGCGAGAUCUCCACCUGCGCAAAACGAAAGGGCGGAUUCUCCUUGGACUCACGAGGCAACCGCUCCCCGGGGUGAGAACGGGGGACUCAUUCCUCCGGCACUGGGAGAAGACGAUUCUUUAGGAGGAGGACAGGGAAGCGAAUGCUACCCAGAUGUCUCAGUAUACUGGCUCGCGGCACAUCGGGCAAAUGAACCUAUCAGAUAACAACGGCAGAUCAGAUGCCUGAGCAUUCAGAAGCAACAGCUGUGGAGCCCCCGUGGGUUCAGAAGGCCUGGUUCCCGUCUCCAGAAGCCUGGCUCUCCUCCCUCCUGGGCCCACUACUUUGGCUUCUUGUUCCUACGUACAAGGAGUUGCGAAGAAGGCAACUCUUCCCCUCCCUGAAGCCAAAGGAAUGAAACAGACUAGGGCGGGAGAGGUGGCCAUCCGUCAUUAGUUGCGGCCAUCAGUAACAGCAACAGGACACGGAACCUAAGGCUGUAUCCAUCCUGGGCCCCCAGGGAAACAUCAGCGGGAGCGGUACUAAGGAAGUGCUCAUCUCUUAGAGACAAAGGCCCAUGGAGGGGAACAGUAACCAUCCCCUCCCAAUUCAGAAAAUGUUAACAUAAGCACUUCAUUUCUCAUGCAGAUAACCACAUAAGUCUAUUAAUAAGAAAGAAAGAGAAAGAAAAAAAAGAAAAAGGAAUCCAUGCCAGCAGGGUAUAGGAAUUGGUCUAUAGGAGAAAGGGUCACCCACUGAAAGGUGGGCUGAAUAGAAUUCCUUGCCUGGGCUUUGAGGUCCUGGCAUGGAGAAGGCUGUAGAAAUGCUGGCAUCAGUGGAACCCUCAAUAAACAGAAUUCUUGUUAAAGAAUCACAGUCAUUGGUGGAAUGGACUGCCCAUCUAAGGUCAAUCUACACUAAAGGAUGGCAGAGAUCAAGAGAAAGAGAAAGAAAAAGCACCCAUGGCCGGGCAUGCGUGGUGGCUCACACCUGUAAUCCCAGCACUUAGGGAGGCCGAGGCAGGCGCAUCACUUGAGGUCAGGAGUUUGACACCAGCCUGGCCAACAUGGUCAAACCCCAUCUCUACUAAAAAUACAAAAAUUAGCCAGGCGUGGUGGCAGGCACCUGUAAUCCCAGCUACUCGGGAGGCUGAGGUGAGAGAAUUGCUUGAACUGGGAGGCAGAGGUUGCAAUGAGCAGAGAUUGCACCACUGCACUCCAGCCUGGGCACUAGAGUGAAACUCCAUCUCAAAAAAAAAAAAAGAAAAGGAAAAAGAAAAAAGAAAAGCACCCAGAUCCUAGGACAUAUAAAUACUUCCAACAUGAGGACCGCGGGGUAGCGCCCAUGGGAGGUGCAGGUCACUGUCCUUAGCGGAACCCCUUCUCUACCUUGCCACACCGGCACUAAGCCCUCGAUCCUUCUGACAGACAUGGCCACAUUUUUGUACAUGUUUGCAGCCAUCACUCCUUUCACUGUAGUAAGCUGUGCACUCAGCAUCACCCAUGUCUUUCUAUAAAUAGGAAGAAAGCUCAGAACAGCCCUCAGAAAACUGCAUGUUGACAGCACCCAGAGUCCUGGCUGGAAGAGGGAAGGGCACUCACAGAGCUGCUUCCCUGGAGCUGUGUCUCUCCCAACUGCCUUGAAGGAAUCUCUUGGGAAGGCAGCGACUUCUGGCCUCUGGGGACCUAAAGAAGCCAAGUGGCAAAGCGGUAUGAAAACUAAACCAGUUCUAGGUCCAGGUGCACAUCAAGGCAGUUUGUGGGGCACGUGGCAGGUCUGCUGAAACACAGUGCCUGCCCCUCGCCAACCUUCUCUCUCUGGCAGGAACCCCCUCCUUUGAGUUAAAAGUGUUGCAGACCCCAGGAAAUGCCUGAGAGACCUUGUGCCUUAACAGAGAGAGAUGUUAUGUGCACCGGAUCCCCAACAUGCUUUGCAAAUGUUGAAGGGAGAAGACAGACGUGGGCCAGAUACAACACAAACAAGGCUCUCAGGCCACCAGGCUGAGUGAAGGUGCUAUACAGAGGCUUCUUGGCCACCUGGGGCCCCUUUGAGCCUAUGAGGGAUCCUGGGAGGGUAGUGGAGUGAGGACAGCAGAGGAGCACCAAAGACAAACUCAGCCCAUUUCACAAUUUUAUCGUGAGCCAGCCCUAUCUUAGCCCUCUCGUUUUGAAGAAAAGCCAAAUUUGUAUUUAAAAAAAUACUUAUGCCUGAUGCAUUCCCUAUUGUGAAAUAAGCACAUUUAUUACACAGAAGGAAACCUGAUGUCUCUCAGACCUUGAGCAGACUAUUUACAACAUUUGGGCUACAAGGCAAGGUGACCUUCAGACCACGAAGUGGCGAUGGCUUGCAUAGGGCAAGGCAGGGUCUCUGAGAGAACGUGAGACACACAGGCCACCACCAUGUUUUAGGGGACCUGGGAUUUUGCAACAGGAAGAAAUAACAGGUUAGAAAAAUGCAUGCUUUAAAACAUUUAAAAUUUAAAAAUAGAAUGCUUUCACACACACACACUGCAACACAAUAUAAUUGUGCCAUUUACUAGUAAUGAUAUAAACAUAUCUGAAUGCCCCUUUGAACACAAAGCACAGCUAAAUGCCCCACCUCCAGCAGACAGACCCUGAAGCAACACACCCCCAAGAAAACAAGUGACAGAUAUAUAUGAUAGAUAGAUAGAUAGAUAGAUAGAUAGAUAGAUAGAUAGAUAGAUAUUAUUUUUUUUGAGACAGAGUCUGGUUCUGUCUCAGAAGGGUCAGGUUGCCCAGGCUGGAAUGCAGUGGCAUGAUCUCGGCUCUCUGCAACCUCCACCUCCCUGGCUCAAGCUAGCCUCCUACCUCAGCCUCCCAAGUAGCUGGGACGACAGGUGCAUGUCAGCAUACCCAGCUAAUUUUGGUAGAAAUGGAGUCUCACUAUGUGGCUCAGGCUGCUCACUACGAGCUCAGAAGAGCUCAAGCAAUCCACCCACCUCGGCCUCCCAAAGUAUUGGGAUUACAGACAUGAGUCACCAUGCCCGGCUGUAAGUGACAGAUAUUGACAUAAGCCCUGCAAUAGGAAUCUGAGACCCAGGAUUGGACAGGUCAACUAGCAAUGCUUCUAAAUACAAGUGAUCUGGCAAGCUGGCAAAAUGUCUGAGUUUCAUUCUUUACCUUAGGUCAAAGUUUCAUUCUUGAUUUGGAUCAAAGGGGAAGGAGAAAAAGGCACAAACUGAACCAUCAACUCUGUCACCGAAAAGUGGUCCCCUGGAUCUUAGUGCUUUGCCACCUUCUUGCCACCCCUAUAGUAAAAUGCUUUUUUAUUCUUUCUUUAAAAAUUUCUGUUAUUAUUAUUUUAUUUAAAUGGGGUCUUGCUAUGUUGUCCAGGCUGGUCUCCAACUUCUGGCCUCAAGCAAUCUUCCCACUCCAGCCUCCCAAAGUGCUGGGAUUACAGACGUAAGCCACCAUGUCCAGCCAUGAUUUUUAAAGGCAGGCAUACUUUAUACUUUUUGUACACACUUACAGCUCUGAUUCUUUUUUUAAACAUAUUUAUUUAUUUUUGUUGAGAUGAGGUCUCGCUAUGUUGCCCAGGCUGGUCUUGAACUCCUGGGCCCAAGUGAUCCUCCUGCUUCGGCCUCC